rnacentral:rRNA from 1 species
GAUGAACGCUGGCGGCGUGCCUAAUACAUGCAAGUCGAGCGAACGGACGAGAAGCUUGCUUCUCUGAUGUUAGCGGCGGACGGGUGAGUAACACGUGGAUAACCUACCUAUAAGACUGGGAUAAUUUCGGGAAACCGGAGCUAAUACCGGAUAAUAUUUUGAACCGCGUGGUUCAAAAGUGAAAGACGGUCUUGCUGUCACUUAUAGAUGGAUCCGCGCUGCAUUAGCUAGUUGGUAAGGUAACGGGUUACCAAGGCAACGAUGCAUAGCCGAACUGAGAGGGUGAUCGGCCACACUGGAAGUGAGACACGGUCCAGACUCCUACGGGAGGCAGCAGUCGGGAAUCUUACGCAAUGGGCGAGAGUCUGACGGAGCGACGCCGCGUGAGAGAUGACAGUCUUCGGAGCGUAAAACUCGGUUAUUAGGGAAGAACAUAUUUGUAAGUAGCUGUAGACAGCUUGACGGUACCGAAUCAGAAAGCAACGGCUAACUACGUG